AGAGUUUGAUCCUGGCUCAGGAUGAACGCUAGCUACAGGCUUAACACAUGCAAGUCGAGGGGCAGCAUUUCAGUUUGCUUGCAAACUGGAGAUGGCGACCGGCGCACGGGUGAGUAACACGUAUCCAACCUGCCGAUAACUCGGGGAUAGCCUUUCGAAAGAAAGAUUAAUACCCGAUGGCAUAAUUAGACCGCAUGGUCUUAUUAUUAAAGAAUUUCGGUUAUCGAUGGGGGAUGCGUUCCAUUAGGCAGUUGGGUGGAGGUAACGGCUCACCAAACCUUCGAUGGGAUAGGGGUUCUGGAGAGGGAAGGUCCCCCACAUUGGGAACUGNAGACACGGUCCAAACUCCUACGGGNAGGCAGCAGUGAGGGAAUAUUGGUCAAUGGNACGAGAGUCUGAACCAGCCAAGUAGCGUGAAGGAUGACUGCCCUAUGGGUUGUAAACUUCUUUUAUAUGGGAAUAAAGUUUUCCACGUGUGGAAUUUUGUAUGUACCAUAUGAAUAAGGAUCGGCUAACUCCGUGCCAGCAGCCGCGGUAAUACGGAGGAUCCGAGCGUUAUCCGGAUUUAUUGGGUUUAAAGGGAGCGUAGGUGGACAGUUAAGUCAGUUGUGAAAGUUUGCGGCUCAACCGUAAAAUUGCAGUUGAUACUGGCUGUCUUGAGUACAGUAGUAGGUGGGCGGAAUUCGUGGUGUAGCGGUGGAAAUGCUUAGAUAUCACGGAAGGAACUCCGAUUGCGGAAGGCAGCUCACUGGGACUGCAACUGGACACUGGAUGCUCGAAAGUGUGGGUAUCAAACAGGGAUUAGAUACCCUGGGUAGUCCACACAGUAAACGAUGAAUACUCGCUGUUUGCGAUAUACAGUAAGCGGCCAAGCGAAAGCAUUAAGUUAUUCCACCUGGGGGAGUACGCCGGCAACGGUGAAACUCAAAGGGAAUUGACGGGGGCCCGCACAAGCGGAGGAACAUGUGGUUUAAUUCGAUGAUACGCGAGGAACCUUACCCGGGCUUAAAUUGCAUUUGAAUAAUCUGGAAACCAGGUUAGCCGCAAGGCAAAUGUGAAGGUGCUGCAUGGUUGUCGUCAGUCUACGUGCCGUGAGGUGUCGGCCUUUAAGUGCCCCAUAACCGAGCGCCAACCCCUUAUCCUUUAGUUUACUAACCAGGUCAUGGCUGAGGGANCUUCUAGAGGAGGACUGNCCGUCCGUAAGAUGUGAGGAAGGUGGGGAUGACGUACAAAUCAGCACGGCCCCUUACGUCCGGGGNUACACACGUGUUACAAUGGGGGGUAUCAGAAGGCAGCUACCCUGGUGACAGGAUGCUAAUGCCCAAAAGCCUCUCCUCAGUUCCGGAUCGAAGUGCUGCAACCCGACUUCGUGAAGCUGGAUUCGCUAGUAAUCGCGCAUCAGCCAUGGCGCGGUGAAUACGUUNCCCGGGCCUUGUACACACCGCCCGU
rnacentral:rRNA from 1 species